rnacentral:rRNA from 1 species
AUGAACGCUAGCGGCAGGCUUAACACAGUGCAAGUCGAGGGGCAACCGGGUAGCCAAUACCUGGUGGCGACCGGCGCAAGGGUGCGUAACGCGUGAGCAACAUGCCCUAUACAGGGGGAUAAUCCAGGGAAACUUGGUCUAAUAUCCCAUAGUAUUUAGAGGUGGCAUCACCACUAAAUUAAAGCUUCGGUGGUAUAGGAUUGGCUCGCGUGACAUUAGCUGGAUGGUGGGGUAACGGCUCACCAUGGCGAUGAUGUCUAGGGGUUCUGAGAGGAAGACCCCCCACACUGGGACUGAGACACGGCCCAGACUCCUACGGGAGGCAGCAGUGAGGAAUAUUGGACAAUGGAUGGAAAUCUGAUCCAGCCAUGCCGCGUGCAGGAAGACGGCCCUAUGGGUUGUAAACUGCUUUUAUAUGGGAGCAAUAAGGUUUACGCGUAGACCGAUGAGAGUACCAUAUGAAUAAGCAUCGGCUAACUCCGUG